UCGCCGUAAACGAUGCACACUUGGUGUAACUCGGACUCAACCCUAGUUGUGCCGAAGCUAACGCGAUAAGUGUGCCGCCUGGGGAGUACGCUCGCAAGGGUGAAACUCAAAAGAAUUGACGGGGACCCGCACAAGCAGUGGAGCAUGUGGUUUAAUUCGAUGCAACGCGAAGAACCUUACCUAGGCUUGACAUGCAGACCGCGGUAUCAGAGAUGAUAUUUCCCUUCGGGGGGUCUGCACAGGUGCUGCAUGGCUGUCGUCAGCUCGUGCCGUGAGGUGUUGGGUUAAGUCCCGCAACGAGCGCAACCCUUAUCAUUAGUUGCCAACAGGUAAUGCUGGGGACUCUAAUGAGACUGCCUGGGUUAACCAGGAGGAAGGUGAGGAUGACGUCAAGUCCGCAUGGCCCUUAUGUCUAGGGCUACACACGUGCUACAAUGGCCGGUACAAUAGGCAGCGAAGCCGCGAGGUGAAGCAAAUCCCUAAAGCCGGUCCCAGUUCAGAUUGUAGUCUGCAACUCGACUACAUGAAGUUGGAAUUGCUAGUAAUGGCGAGUCAGCAACAUCGCCGUGAAUACUUCCCGGGUCUUGUACACACCGCCCGUCACACCAUGGAA
rnacentral:rRNA from 1 species